CUUUUAACAAUGGAUCUCUUGGCUCUCAUAUCGAUGAAGAACACAGUGAAAUGUGAUAAGUAAUGUGAAUUGCAGAAUUCAGUGAAUCAUCAAAUCUUUGAACGCACCUAGCACCUUUUGGUAUUCCAAAAGGUAUACCUGUUUGAGUGUCAUGAAACCCUCUCA
rnacentral:rRNA from 1 species